rnacentral:rRNA from 1 species
CCUACGGGAGGCAGCAGUGAGGAAUAUUGGUCAAUGGACGAGAGUCUGAACCAGCCAAGUAGCGUGAAGGAUGACUGCCCUAUGGGUUGUAAACUUCUUUUAUAUGGGAAUAAAACGUUCCACGUGUGGGAUUUUGUAUGUACCAUAUGAAUAAGGAUCGGCUAACUCCGUGCCAGCAGCCGCGGUAAUACGGAGGAUCCGAGCGUUAGCCGGAUUUAUUGGGUUUAAAGGGCGCGUAGGUGGAUUGUUAAGGCAGUUGUGAAAGUUUGCGGCUCAACCGUAAAAUUGCAGUUGAAACUGACAGUCUUGAGUACAGUAGAGGUGGGCGGAAUUCGUGGUGUAGCGGUGAAAUGCUUAGAUAUCACGAAGAACUCCGAUUGCGAAGGCAGUUCACUGGACUGCAACUGACACUGAGGCUCGAAAGUGUGGGUAUCAAACAGGAUUAGAUACCCCUGUAGUC